CCCGGGGCAUCCCUGGAACCCUUACCUGUGCUGUCCGAGCUCCGGCCAGCGGCACAGCGGGACCCGGGGCUGGGCAAACCAUCCCAGCAGCUCGGGAGCCGGUGGAUCGGCGGCACGGCCGCUCCCGGACGGGUUUCUCUGGCAAGUUCCAGGCAGGCCCCGUAACCCAAUCGGCCCCGGCGGUUUCAGUUGUCACACAACAGCUCGGAGGGCCGGGCUGGGCUCAGCAUCCCGCGUGUUCCCGGCUCAGCCCGGCAGGUGCGGGGACACCUGGGGCACGGUGGGACCGGGGGGAUCGGGGCUACCGGGGAAUGUGCGCUCACAUCUCUGGGAAACCACGGGAAUUUUGCUUUAGAGACUUCACCAAAGGCCACCAGCCUGCCUGAAUUUCUGGCGAUGGCUAAGGAACGGCACAGGACGGGGCUCGGGAUGGAUUUCCUGACGCUGUUCCUGCUGUACCUGUGCUCCGUGCUGGCCGUGGCUGCCCUGCUGUGCCUGAGCUCGGGAAGGCAGGAGAGCUUCCUCACCAGGAGCGUCACCAGGGCCAGCCAGGUACAGCCCUGCGCUGCCAGGCAGGGAAUGAGCUGCCAGGGGAACCAGCAGCUGCCCUGUGUGCUAAAAUUAGGGCAACUGCUGUAUUUGUUAUCAAAAAAAAGCCAACAAAAGCCAGUGUGUGUGGUCACAGUGAUAAUAUAUUUCAUCCUGCUUUAAUGCCUGCUCUCAAGGAAGUGAGAUAGGAAGUAGAAAUACACUUCUCUGAGAUGGUUCAAUCCUGCCCAAGCAGGUUGUAAAAAUCAUUUGGGUCUCCCAGCCCUGCCCGUGCCUGUCUGGGGUGAGGUUGGAGCUUCCCACCGUGCCAGAAGUGCCUUCCUCACUAACACCACAACACAUCUCAGAAAAAUUAAAUAAGAAUCGGGCCCCAGGGAUUUGCAGUUUUGUGGUGUUGCUGCUGUCAUCAAGAGGAGAAAGGUGGGGGAGGUUUGAGGAUUAAAAUAGGGAGAGAAUUAUAAGUGGUGGCAAAUAUUUGAGGGAAAGCUCUUUAAUGUGUGUACUAAUGCUGCAGGCUCUUGUUCAAUAAGAAAGAAGCAGGAAUGAAGAGCUUUAAAAGAGGAUUAAGAAUUGGCAUUUUAUUGUAAAAACGAGGAAUUGGGAAAGCACCAGUUCAUUUUUCUGUUUGUUGGGCUGUGUCUGAAUGAAAAGGAAAAAAUAAUGCUGUAAUAUUUCUGGAAGGUAAAGGAUGAGAAAAUUAUCACUUAAAUCGAAAAUUAUGUUUAAUGCUGUUCACAGGAGUUCAGGCAGACUUUUUUUUAUUACUGGCAUUAUACUUCCUUUUGGUUUAUAGACACACUGUGCAGAGAAAUUGAUUUUUUUCCCCCAUAUCUUAAUAGCUGCUGCUAUGAAGUGUUUAGACAGCAGCAAUUAAAUUACUGCUGUGGUAUGAAGCCACUGUCUGGGGGAAUCCAAUCAAUACUUGUGCCUGGGAAAUAAAUACAUAUGAAUGUAAUCA
rnacentral:lncRNA from 1 species